GCGGGCGCGGGGGAGCGUACGUACCCGUUCCGGUUUUGAAAUCCGGCGCGGGCCCGGGAGCAUGGGCGUCGGGGUUCGAGUCCCCGAUCACCCGCG
rnacentral:tRNA from 1 species